AUUGAACGCUGGCGGCAUGCCUUACACAUGCAAGUCGAACGGCAGCACGGGAGCAAUCCUGGUGGCGAGUGGCGAACGGGUGAGUAAUAUAUCGGAACGUGCCCAGUCGUGGGGAUAACGUAGCGAAAGCUACGCUAAUACCGCAUACUAUCUAUGGAUGAAAGCGGGGGAUCGCAAGACCUCGCGCGAUUGGAGCGGCCGAUAUCAGAUUAGGUAGUUGGCGAGGUAAAGGCUCACCAAGCCGACGAUCUGUAGCUGGUCUGAGAGGACGACCAGCCACACUGGGACUGAGACACGGCCCAGACUCCUACGGAGGCAGCAGUGGGGAAUUUUUGGGACAAUGGGCGCAAGCCUGAUCCAGCAAUGCCGCGUGCA
rnacentral:rRNA from 1 species